AGUGAACGCUGGCGGUAUGCCUAACACAUGCAAGUCGAACGGCAGCACAGUAAUAGCUUGCUCUUACGGGUGGCGAGUGGCGGACGGGUGAGGAAUACAUCGGAAUCUCCUUUUUCGUGGGGGAUAACGUAGGGAAACUUACGCUAAUACCGCAUACGACCUACGUGUGAAAGCAGGGGAUCUUCGGACCUUUCGCGUUUGAAUUAUCCGUGGUCGGAUUAGCUAGUUGGCGGGGUAAAGGCCCACCAAGGCGACGAUCCGUAGCUGGUCUGAGAGGAUGAUCGGCCACACUGGAACUGAGACACGGUCCAGACUCCUACGGGAGGCAGCAGUGGGGAAUAUUGGACAAUGGGCGAAAGCCUGAUCCAGCAAUACCGCGUGGGUGAAGAAGGCCUUCGGGUUGUAAAGCCCUUUUGUUGGGAAAGAAAAGCAGCAGGUUAAUACCACGCUGUUCUGACGGUACCCAAAGAAUAAGCACCGGCUAACUUCGUG
rnacentral:rRNA from 1 species